CAGAGGGAGGAAGCAGUCAAAACACCACCUAAAAACAAAAGAUCAAGACGACUGAUCCAAAACUGCGGUGGAAAAAGAGAGACCAAGAAGGAUUCUUGGUCUAUGAGAAGCGCAAACCAAAGACUGACCCAUGUGGAAGACAAGUGACCUCAACCAUUGCCUCUGCAAGUAACCAUCAAGAAGUUGAGCUUGGAACUGCAAGCACAUCUGAAGCCUCAACUACCGAACAACAUUGUGGAGAUUGUUGAGAUCAGUAAUGAAGUGAGAGGAUUUUUGACUGUGGUGAUGUCUGGACUGAUGAAGAGUGAUUCUGGCUGGUAUUACUGUUCUGUAGGAGAUAACAUUCUCCUCUUGAAUAUCUACAGGUUCCUGUU